GCCACCACCACCACUCUAUCACCAUCAUCUUCAUCCAUUUCCAAGCUCCAUUCAUGUGUUAGAAGGUGCACAACGAAGCUUGGUGCUCUCGGAAGUUGAAGGACCUUCUCUAUUCGCUAUUAACCAUCACUUUUCUGCACUCGAACUUCCCUAGCCUUGAGCUAGUGUGGGGAAUGGAUGGGAAACUUAGAGGGCAUAAACAGUUAAAGUCGUUAAAUGCUUGGAGCUUGCACGAGGAAGGAGUCGUUGUGGGAUACGGACUGUCAUGUUCCGUAAUAAACACUUAA
rnacentral:lncRNA from 1 species